AUUGAACGCUGGCGGCAGGCCUAAUACAUGCAAGUCGAACGAGUGGCGGACGGGUGAGUAAUGCUUGGGAAUCUGGCUUAUGGAGGGGGAUAACUGCGGGAAACUGUAGCUAAUACCGCUUACCAUCGGAUGAGCCCACGUGGGAUGAGGUAUUUGGUGAGGUAAAGGCUCACCAAGCCGACGAUUCCUAGCUGGUCUGAGAGGAUGACCGGCCACACUGGGACUGAGACACGGCCCAGACUCCUACGGGAGGCAGCAGUGGGGAAUAUUGCGCAAUGGGCGAAACCUGACAGAGCCAUGCCGCGUGAAUGAAGAAGGCCUUCGGGUUGUAAAGUUCUUUCGGUAGCGAGGCGUUAUCUACAGAAGAAGCACCGGCUAACUCCGUGCCAGCAGCCGCGGUAAUUC
rnacentral:rRNA from 1 species